AAGAGUGAACUAGCUAACUGAAAUCACAAACAAGCUUUAUAAGCUAUUUGUGAUAAGGUAAGGGAAAAAACUGAUGUUACCUUACUAAAAGUGUUGUCCAAAACUAGUGCCAGAAGACUCGGUAAGACCAGGAACGCAAACGUUAAUCGUCUUAAUCAGGCGUAAAGGGUUCGUAGGCUGCUUUUAAAAUUUUUAUUUAAACAAGCUCUUAUUUUUAAAAAUUAAAUUAAUUUAAUCUUUUAAUAAUAUUAAUAAUAAUAAAUAAGUUAAAUAAAAUAAUAAUAAAAGCUAGAAUCAAAUUUAGGAUAUGAAAAAUGCUUAGUGUAGGGAUGGUAUCCGCAGAUACUAAGUGGAAUACUAAAGGCGAAAGCUUCUAUCUAUUAAUGAUUGACGCUGAGGAACGAAGGUGAGAAUAGGAAAUAGGAUUAGGUACCCAGAUACCUCUCACUGUCAACGAUGAAUGGUAGUUAGUCAGUUUUAAAACAAAUUGGUAACGAUGUUAACGCGAUAACCAUUCCGCCUUGCGAGUACGGUUGCAAAACUGAAACCAAAAAAAUUAGUCGGUCUCGAAGCAAACGAAGUGGAGCAUGUUAUUUAAUU
rnacentral:rRNA from 1 species